rnacentral:rRNA from 1 species
AUAUUCUGUGAGCAGGAAAACAGGGGACCUUCGGGCCUUGCGCUGAUUGAGCGGCCGAUAUCAGAUUAGCUAGUUGGUGAGGUAAAGGCUCACCAAGGCGACGAUCUGUAGCGGGUCUGAGAGGAUGAUCCGCCACACUGGAACUGAGACACGGUCCAGACUCCUACGGGAGGCAGCAGUGGGGAAUUUUGGACAAUGGGCGCAAGCCUGAUCCAGCCAUGCCGCGUGAGUGAAGAAGGCCUUCGGGUUGUAAAGCCCUUUCGGCCGGGAAGAAAUCGUAUAGGUUAAUACCCUGUGCGGAUGACGGUACCGGCAUAAGAAGCACCGGCUAACUACGUGCCAGCAGCCGCGGUAAUACGUAGGGUGCGAGCGUUAAUCGGAAUUACUGGGCGUAAAGCGUGCGCAGGCGGUUUUGUAAGACAGGCGUGAAAUCCCCGGGCUCAACCUGGGAACUGCGUUUGUGACUGCAAGGCUAGAGUAUGGCAGAGGGGGGUGGAAUUCCACGUGUAGCAGUGAAAUGCGUAGAGAUGUGGAGGAACACCGAUGGCGAAGGCAGCCCCCUGGGCCAAUACUGACGCUCAUGCACGAAAGCGUGGGUAGCAAACAGGAUUAGAUACCCUGGUAGUCCACGCCCUAAACGAUGUCAACUAGGUGUUGGGUGGGUAAAACCAUUUAGUACCGUAGCUAACGCGUGAAGUUGACCGCCUGGGGAGUACGGCCGCAAGGUUAAAACUCAAAGGAAUUGACGGGGACCCGCACAAGCGGUGGAUGAUGUGGAUUAAUUCGAUGCAACGCGAAAAACCUUACCUACCCUUGACAUGUCCAGAAGCCCUGAGAGAUUGGGGUGUGCCCGAAAGGGAGCUGGAACACAGGUGCCGCAUGGCUGUCGUCAGCUCGUGUCGUGAGAUGUUGGGUUAAGUCCCGCAACGAGCGCAACCCUUGUCGUUAAUUGCCAUCAUUUAGUUGGGCACUUUAACGAGACUGCCGGUGACAAACCGGAGGAAGGUGGGGAUGACGUCAAGUCCUCAUGGCCCUUAUGGGUAGGGCUUCACACGUCAUACAAUGGUCGGUACAGAGGGUUGCCAAGCCGCGAGGUGGAGCCAAUCCCAGAAAGCCGAUCGUAGUCCGGAUUGCAGGCUGCAACUCGCCUGCAUGAAGUCGGAAUCGCUAGUAAUCGCGGAUCAGCAUGUCGCGGUGAAUACGUUCCCGGGUCUUGUACACACCGCCCGUCACACCAUGGGAGCGGGUUCCGCCAGAAGUGGGUAGCCUAACCGCAAGGAGGGCGCUCACCACGGCGGGGUUCGUGACUGGGGUGAAGUCGUAACAAGGUA